AGGAUGAACGCUGGCGGCGUGCCUAAUACAUGCAAGUCGAGCGGUAAGGCUACUUCGGUAGUACACGAGCGGCGGACGGCUGAGUAACACGUAGGAACGUACCCCAAAGUGAGGCAUAAGCACCAGAAAUGGUGUCUAAUACCGCAUGUGAUCUUCGGAUUAAAGCUUCGGCGCUUUGGGAACGGCCUGCGCAUGAUUAGCUUGUUGGUGAGGUAAUAGCUCACCAAGGCGACGAUCAUUAGCUGGUCUGAGAGGAUGACCAGCCAGACUGGGACUGAGAACGGCCCAGACUCCUACGGGAGGCAGCAGUAGGGAAUUUUUCCACAAUGGGCGAAAAGCCUGAUGGAGCAACGCCGCGUGCAGGAUGAAAGGCUCUCGGGUCGUAAAACUGCUUUUAUAUGUGAAGAUUAUGACGGUAGCAUAUGAAUAAGGAUCGGCUAAACUCCGUGCCAGCAGCCGCGGU
rnacentral:rRNA from 1 species